UACGUAGGAGGCGAGCGUUAAUCGGAAUACUGGGCGUAAAGCGUGCGCAGGCGGUUCGUUGUGUCGGCGGUGAAAGCCCCGGGCUUAACCUGGGAAUGGCCGUUGAAACUGGCGAACUGGAGUGUGGCAGAGGGGGGUGGAAUUCCGCGUGUAGCAGUGAAAUGCGUAGAGAUGCGGAGGAACACCGAUGGCGAAGGCAGCCCCCUGGGCUAACACUGACGCUCAGGCACGAAAGCGUGGGGAGCAACAGG
rnacentral:rRNA from 1 species